rnacentral:rRNA from 1 species
UACGUAGGGGGCAAGCGUUGUCCGGAAUCAUUGGGCGUAAAGAGCGUGUAGGCGGCCCGAUAAGUCCGCCGUGAAAGUCCAGGGCUCAACCCUGGAAUGCCGGUGGAAACUGUCGGGCUGGAGUCCGGAAGAGGCGAGUGGAAUUCCUGGUGUAGCGGUGAAAUGCGCAGAUAUCAGGAGGAACACCAAUGGCGAAGGCAGCUCGCUGGGACGGUAACUG